AGAGUGGCAGACGGGUGAGUAACACGUGGGUAACCUACCCCUAGGCGGGGGAUAACAGCUGGAAACGGCUGCUAAUACCGCAUAAGACUACGAAUCUUCGGGUUAGUAGUUAAAGUCUUCGGACACCAAGGGAGGGGCCCGCGGUUGAUUAGCUUGUUGGUGGGGUAAUGGCCUACCAAGGCAACGAUCAAUAGCUGGUCUGAGAGGAUGAUCAGCCACACUGGUACUUAGACACGGACCAG
rnacentral:rRNA from 1 species